rnacentral:rRNA from 1 species
UGAGGAAUAUUGGACAAUGGGUGGAAGCCUGAUCCAGCCAUCCCGCGUGAAGGAAUAAGGGCCUAUGGCUUGUAAACUUCUUUUGUACAGGGAUAAACCUACCCUCGUGAGGGUAGCUGAAGGUACUGUACGAAUAAGCACCGGCUAACUCCGUGCCAGCAGCCGCGGUAAUACGGAGGGUGCAAGCGUUAUCCGGAUUUAUUGGGUUUAAAGGGUCCGUAGGCGGGCUUAUAAGUCAGUGGUGAAAGCCGGCAGCUUAACUGUCGAACUGCCAUUGAUACUGUAAGCCUUGAGUAUAUUUGAGGUAGCUGGAAUAAGUAGUGUAGCGGUGAGGCAUAGAUAUUACUUAGAACACCAAUUGCGAAGGCAGGUUACCAAGUUAUAACUGACGCUGAUGGACGAAAAGCGUGGGGAGCGAACAGGAUUAGAUACCCUGGUAGUCCACGCUGUAAACGAUGCUAACUCGUUUUUGGGGCAUUAAGCUUCAGAGACCAGGCGAAAAGUGAUAAGUUAGCCACCUGGGGGAGUACGUUCGCAAGAAUGAAACUCAAAAGGAAUUGACGGGGGUCAUAGCUGUUUCCCU